rnacentral:rRNA from 1 species
UACAGAGGGGGCAAGCGUUGUUCGGAAUUACUGGGCGUAAAGGGCGCGUAGGCGGCCACCGCAAGUCGACUGUGAAAUCUCCGGGCUUAACUCGGAAAGGUCAGCCGAUACUGCGGGGCUAGAGUGCAGAAGGGGCAACUGGAAUUCUCGGUGUAGCGGUGAAAUGCGUAGAUAUCGAGAGGAACACCUGCGGCGAAGGCGGGUUGCUGGGCUGACACUGACGCUGAGGCGCGAAAGCUAGGGGAGCGAACGGG